rnacentral:lncRNA from 1 species
CAACUACAAGCAUCUUAGUCAGGUCUGUCUUUUGUCCAGGAGCUCAAGAAGCGGGGAGUCAUCCUGCAGGAGGCAUUCAUGCAGAGAAGCCGCAGUUGCUAUUGGAGGAGGUGGGUGCAAGGCCAGGGAAUGGCAUCCUUGGGAGGUGGUGACCGAGACUAGAUUCCAGUCUUUGAAAUGCCUCCAGCCCUCCCACUUCUUCCUACCUCUGAACACCCUCUUCCUCUACCUCAAGCUCCCCACUCAACAUUGCAUGACUGUGUUUCUAUGUAUGAAUGGGGGAGUUAUGAAUGGAACCCAGAGAGAAGAAACAGUGACGUGACAAUUCAUGAAGGGCCAGCUCAAAACUGGGAGAGGGAGUACAAUAAGAGUGAACACAUCUGCCUUUUGCUGCAGAGUUCCAGCUUGCUGGAGGUGCAAGAGAAGAAUCAACCUCAAUCUGCACCAGGGUGGGAGGGGCAGACAGCCUCAAGGGAAGCCUCAACUUAUAUACUUUGGGUUCUCCACAUAGAUUCCUUUCUUUCUUUUAAUGUUGUGCUGGGGAUCAAACCCAGGGCUUUGUGCAUGUGAGGCAAGCACUCUACCAACUGGGCUAUAUCCCCAGCCCUCUCCACAUAGAUUUCUCAUUGGGGUACUGCAAGGUUCUCACUCCCCAAGAUGAUUUCUGGACAGCAGCAUCCCAGGAGUCUUCCUUAGACGCCAAGUUCUAAAAAGGCCCAGUCCCACCAUACCAUCAACAGCUCUCUCAACUGAUGACACAAGGUUACUGCUUCAUUAGAUGCUCCCUGUCCCUAAAGCCCUGGGUCUCAGAAGAGAGUCUUUCUGGAAACCACCUAUAGAAACUACUUUGUGGCCAGGAAUGAUGGUGCAUGGCUAUAAUCCUAGCAGCUCAGGAGGCUGAGAAAAGAGGAUGACAAGUUCAAGGUUAGCCUCAGCAACUUAGCCAGACCCUGUCUCAAAAUUUAAAAAAAAAUUCAAAGGGAGCCUCAGUAGUUAAGAACUCCUGAGUUAAAUUCCUAGUACAAAAAAGAAAGAAAAGGGAAAAAAAACUACUUUGUGAAUUGUCUCACAGAUUUCCCUCUGUAGACCUUUUGCUGUCUUCCUUGCUUUUGUUUUAUUGCCAAUGCUUUAGACUUACUGAUUUGCACUUAUUUUGGUGGCAUCCUCUUGGUGCUGAUCCUUUUUUGUCAUACCUCAGCUCUACGAGACAGCCACAGGUGCAAGAGGAGAAUCAACUUAGCAAAACCUGUCUCAAAAUAAAAAGGCCAAAGUCCUUUAGAAAAAUAGACUUACAAAAAAUAAAUUCUUCCAGGGCUGGGGUUGUGGCUCAGUGGUAGAGCGCUUGCCUACCAUGCAUGAGGCACUGGGUUCAAACCUUACUACCACAUAAAAAUAAAAUAUAGUGUCCAACUAAAAAAAAUAA